GGGCCAGUGGCGCAAUGGAUAACGCGUCUGACUACGAUUUAGGUUCGACUCCUACCUGGCUCG
rnacentral:tRNA from 1 species